UACAGAGGGUGCGAGCGUUGUCCGGAAUCACUGGGCGUAAAGGGCGCGUAGGUGGCGCGGCAAGCGUGCGGUGAAAGCUCGGGGCUCAACCCCGAGUCGGCCGUGCGAACUGCUGGGCUUGAGCACUGUAGAGGCAGGCGGAAUUCCGGGUGUAGCGGUGGAAUGCGUAGAGAUCCGGAAGAACACCGGUGGCGAAGGCGGCCUGCUGGGCAGUAGCUGACACUGAGGCGCGACAGCGUGGGGAGCAAACAGG
rnacentral:rRNA from 1 species